AUAAAUGGCCGCAGUACCUUGACUGUGCUAAGGUAGCAUAAUCAAUUGGCUUUUAAUUGAAGUCUAGAAUGAAUGGGAAAAUGGAAUUUAGCUGUCUUAAUUUUUUUAAUUAAAAUUUAUUUAUAAGGUGAAAAUACCUUAAAAUUAAAUAAAGACGAGAAGACCCUAUGAAUUUUUUAAAUGUAUUUUUGUUGGGGCGACAGUUUAAAAAAUAAUCUUAAAUUUAUUAUAUAUAACGAAUUUUUUUAAUAAAAAUUAAAUUACCUUAGGGAUAACAGCAUUAUUAUUUAAAUAGUUUGUGACCUCGAUGUUGGACUAGGAACUAAAAGGCUAACC
rnacentral:rRNA from 1 species